rnacentral:rRNA from 1 species
UUGGAGGUAGUGACAAUAAAUCACAAUGCGGGACUAUCAGUCUUGCAAUUGGAUUGAGAACAAUGUACAACUCUUAUCGAUAAGCCAUUGGAGGGCAAGUCUGGUGCCAGCAGCCGCGGUAAUUCCAGCUCCAAUAGCGUAUAUUAACGUUGUUGCAGUUAAAAAGCUCGUAGUUGAAGUGUGGGUGAUCGCUGUUGUGAGACUUCGGUCUCUCGACAGUAAGUCACCCCCUUCCAGUAUCCAGUAGUGGGUAUUCAGUUACUUACUAUUGUGUGUUGGUCGUUUACUGUGAGAAAAUUAGAGUGUUCAAAGCAGGCGUUUGCUUGAAUAGAUUAGCAUGGAAUAAUAAUUGAAGGCUUUCGUGUUCGAUUUGAUUGGUUUGUUCAUGGAAGCAAGGUUAAAAGGAACAGUUGGGGGUAUUCAUAUUCACUAGUUAGAGGUGAAAUUCUCGGAUUUAUGGAAGAUGAACAAGUGCGAAAGCAA